rnacentral:rRNA from 1 species
CUCAGUUCGGAUCGGAGUCUGCAACCCGACUCCGUGAAGCUGGAUUCGCUAGUAAUCGCGCAUCAGCCAUGGCGCGGUGAAUACGUUCCCGGGCCUUGUACACACCGCCCGUCAAGCCAUGGAAGCCGGGGGCGCUUGAAGUGCGUUGCCGCAAGGCGCGCCCUAGAGCGAAACCGGUGACUGGGGCUAAGUCGUAACAAGGUAAC